UACGUAGGGUGCGAGCGUUGUCCGGAAUUAUUGGGCGUAAAGGGCGCGUAGGCGGCCUGACAAGUGGAAGGUGAAAUCCCUCGGCUCAACUGAGGAACUGCCCUCCAAACUGUUUGGCUUGAGACCGGGAGAGGUGAGUGGAAUUCCCAGUGUAGCGGUGAAAUGCGUAGAUAUUGGGAGGAACACCAGUGGCGAAGGCGGCUCACUGGACCGGUACUGACGCUGAGGCGCGAAAGCGUGGGGAGCAAACGGG
rnacentral:rRNA from 1 species